UACGGGGGGGGCAAGCGUUGUUCGGAAUUACUGGGCGUAAAGGGCGCGUAGGCGGCCUGCUAAGUCGGACGUGAAAUCCCUCGGCUCAACCGGGGAACUGCGUCCGAUACUGGCGAGGCUUGAAUCCGGGAGAGGGAUGCGGAAUUCCAGGUGUAGCGGUGAAAUGCGUAGAUAUCUGGAGGAACACCGGUGGCGAAGGCGGCAUCCUGGACCGGCAUUGACGCUGAGGCGCGAAAGCUAGGGGAGCAAACGGG
rnacentral:rRNA from 1 species